UAUAUAUAUAUAUAUAUAUAUAUAUAUAUAUAUAUAGAGUCCGGCUAUGGUGCUUUUAAAAGUACCAAGCACUUGAUGCUUGUAAAUAUUUUACCGUUAGAUCUCUGGCUUUGAUCAUAUUUACCCGUUAGAUUAUACUAUUAAACCAAUCACCCACUCAACCCUAGGGGGCCCACAUCAUCCUAACCGCACAUCCUUUAAUCCAAGAGCCAAAAACUUAUAAGCACCAAUGACUUGGUACUUUUAAAAGCAUAGGAGCUCAAUUAUAUAUAUAUAUAUAUAGAGUUGAGCUAGAAUACUAUCGAUAGCAAACGGGCUCCGUUGCCACCCAUUUGUUUUCGAUGAUGGAGCCUCCAAAUUGACGAUCGGCACCGUUGAACAUGAUCUAUACCACUUGAAGUGUUUAGAAAUCAAAUUUCAUACAUUUUCGAUAUUGUUCUCUUAUCCAUCGAGUGGACACAAAAAUGAACGGCUGAAAAUGAAUAUUCUUUAAAAAAUGAUGAUAGGAAUCUUGUAAUCAAGAUCAAGAGUAUAGAUCUUGUUUUAAAUAGUUUAAAGAAUUUUCUAACAAAAAUUCAAUUGAUUUGGAUAUCUUUACGC
rnacentral:lncRNA from 1 species